rnacentral:antisense_RNA from 1 species
CUUCACCGAGCCCAGCAGCAGCUCGUGCGCGCGGUCGCGGCCGUAGGUGGCCAGCAGCGCCUGGGCCUC